GACGAACGCUGGCGGCGUGCCUAAUACAUGCAAGUUGAGCGCUGAAGGUUGGUACUUGUACCAACUGGAUGAGCAGCGAACGGGUGAGUAACGCGUGGGGAAUCUGCCUUUGAGCGGGGGACAACAUUUGGAAACGAAUGCUAAUACCGCAUAAAAACUUUAAACACAAGUUUUAAGUUUGAAAGAUGCAAUUGCAUCACUCAAAGAUGAUCCCGCGUUGUAUUAGCUAGUUGGUGAGGUAAAGGCUCACCAAGGCGAUGAUACAUAGCCGACCUGAGAGGGUGAUCGGCCACAUUGGGACUGGGACACGGCCCAAACUCCUACGGGAGGCAGCAGUAGGGAAUCUUCGGCAAUGGACGAAAGUCUGACCGAGCAACGCCGCGGGAGUGAAGAAGGUUUUCGGAGCGUAAAACUCUGUUGGUAGAGAAGAACGUUGGUGAGAGUGGAAAGCUCAUCAAGUGACGGUAACUACCCAGAAAGGGACGGCUAACUACGUG
rnacentral:rRNA from 1 species